rnacentral:rRNA from 1 species
UACGAAGGGGGCUAGCGUUGCUCGGAAUUACUGGGCGUAAAGGGAGCGUAGGCGGAUAGUUUAGUCAGAGGUGAAAUCCCGGGGCUCAACCUCGGAACUGCCUUUGAUACUGGCUAUCUUGAGUAUGGGAGAGGUGUGUGGAACUCCGAGUGUAGAGGUGAAAUUCGUAGAUAUUCGGAAGAACACCAGUGGCGAAGGCGACACACUGGCCCAUUACUGACGCUGAGGCACGAAAGCGUGGGGAGCAAACAGG